ACAAGCAAUUGUUGGUGUCACUGAGCUAAGAUGGUGUUAUCUUGCUCCCUGUGGCUCCUGUCUGUCUGUCUUCUGUCCUGGUGCUGUGAUGCCCAGAAUCCAGAGCUUUCGGACCUUGAGUCAAAAUCAGACCCCAUACCUCUGGUGAUCUGGAGUGAGAUAGAAGACACCAUAGUCGCGACUAAAUUUAAAACGCUUAUGGAGAAGACAGUACCUGGAGUUUACAUCCUGCAACUAGAGAUUGGGAAGCAAAUGAUGAAGGAUUUGGAGAACCAAGCCCUGGAUGCCACUUCCCAAGUGUGUCAGAUUCUUGCUCAGGAUCCUAGAUUGCAGGACGGCUACAUUUCUGUUACAUUCUCCAAGGGAAUCCGGUUCCUGAGGUCAGUGGUUCAGAGAUGCCCAAUCCCUGUCAUGAGAGACAUUAUCUCAGUUUCUGCUAGAAAAAUUUUAAGAGACCUGAAGAAAUUUCUCUGGCUAUCUUAAACUCCAGCAGUUGGUCUGAAGACAUGGCUUGUGCAAUCACUGUGGACACAGCAGUGUUAUGUACCUGCUUUGAACUCUUGAGACACAAUCUAACUGCAAAAUGCCAAACCCGUCUGCAAAGAAGAGCUUAGUCUCCUGCUCAUGCACAUAGUCCCCCCUUCUUCUCUUCUCCUCCUAGCUUGGGAAAGGUUCCUAGUCUGUAAGAGAAGCAUGCUUGCUUAGUGUGAGCUCUUCUCAGAUUCUCUGAAAUAAACCUGUCUGCAUGUUAA